GACAGAGGUUGCAAACGUUGUUCGGAAUUACUGGGCCUAAAGCGCGCGUAGGCGGUCCGUUAAGUCAUGUGUGAAAUCCCCCGGCUCAACCGGGGAAUUGCGCCUGAUACUGGCGGGCUAGAGAUCGAUAGGGGUGAGUGGAACUCCAGGUGGAGCGGUGAAAUGCGUAGAUAUCACUUGGAACGCCAACGGUGAAAACAGCUCGCUGGGGAUGUGCUGACGCUGAGACACGAAAGCCAGGGGAGCGAACGGG
rnacentral:rRNA from 1 species